UUCCUUCUCUUCUUCUCUCUAUAUGUUGGUGUUCUAAACAAUAAUCACCAAUACGAUAUUCUGUCCGAUAGAUUCAGGAACCAACUAACGAAUGCCAAAGUGCUGUCUAAAUAAGACUAUACUUUGUGAAUUUCGUUAAGGUUCUGAUAUCGUGACCAUCAUUAGGUUUGAUAUGGUUUUACACUAAAACGUAUUCCACUCUGUUAAACUAAAUGUUUAACUAUCAGAAAUACUCAGAUCCAUAAACUUACUAUCAAACAAGAUGUUUAAUUAUCAGAAGAUUCAAAACUAUAAAUUAGUUGCUUAGUUAUCAGAAGGCUUAGAAUCAAGAGGCUUGUUUAAUCAAGACGAUAUGCUAACAAGGUGAUUACAGUAGAUUGGAAUAAGAGUUGUGAUACGACACCAAAAAGGCUUACAGAAGUGGCUUAUUUUAUCAAUUAAAUUAAAUUAAGAAAAGUUGUUUUAUGUAUUCGGGUUUAUCCCUAAAGCUACCUUUGCAAAACAUGGGUUUAUCCCAUCUUGUUAAUAAAUAAAAUCCGGUGUU
rnacentral:lncRNA from 1 species